rnacentral:sRNA from 1 species
GCCUUGAGCCAGACAGUAUGGCUUCAGCCGCCUCAGCACUGCACCUGCUGUCCCCACGGCCCCGGCCAGGGCCCGAGCUCGGCCCCCAGCUUGGGCUUGAUGGAGGCCCUGGGGAUGGAGAUCGGCAUAAUACCCCCUCCCUCCUGGAGGCAGCCUUGACCCAGGAGGCCUCGACUCCUGACAGUCAGGUUUGGCCCACAGCACCUGACAUUACUCGUGAGACCUGCAGCACCCUGGCAGAAAGCCCCAGGAAUGGCCUUCAAGAAAAGCACAAGAGCCUGGCCUUCCACCGACCACCAUACCACCUGCUGCAGCAACGUGACAGCCAGGAUGCCAGUGCUGAGCAAAGUGACCAUGAUGAUGAGGUGGCCAGCCUUGCCUCUGCUUCAGGAGGCUUUGGCACCAAAGUUCCUGCUCCACGGCUGCCUGCCAAGGACUGGAAGACCAAGGGAUCCCCUCGAACCUCACCCAAGCUCAAGAGGAAAAGCAAGAAGGAUGAUGGGUAGGGAGAAAUCCUAGGGAGGGAGGGGGUGGUCUCCAGGCUGCCUGACAUAGCCUGAGGUGCUUCUCGCCUAUGGCAGGGAUGCAGCCAUGGGAUCCCGGCUCACAGAGCACCAGGUGGCAGAGCCCCCUGAGGACUGGCCAGCACUAAUUUGGCAACAGCAGAGAGAGCUGGCAGAGCUGCGGCACAGCCAGGAAGAGCUGCUGCAGCGUCUGUGUACCCAACUCGAAGGCCUGCAGAGCACA